rnacentral:rRNA from 1 species
AUACGGAGGAUCCGAGCGUUAUCCGGAUUUAUUGGGUUUAAAGGGUGCGCAGGCGGGAGAUUAAGUCGGCGGUGAAAUUUUGCAGCUCAACUGUAAAAGGGCCUUCGAAACUGGUUUCCUUGAGUGUAGAUGAAGUAGGCGGAAUUUUGGGUGUAGCGGGGAAAUGCAUAGAUAUCACGAGGAACUCCGAUUGCGCAGGCAGCUUACUAGGCCAUAACUGACGCUCAGGCACGAAGGCGUGGGGAUCAAACAGGAUUAGAUACCCUGGUAGUCCACGCAGUAAACGAUGAUUACUCGCUGUUUGCGAUACACAGUGAGCGGCUUAGCGAAAGCGUUAAGUAAUCCACCUGGGGAGUACGUUCGCAAGAAUGAAACUCAAAGGAAUUGACGGGG